GACGAACGCUGGCGGCGCGCUUAACACAUGCAAGUCGAACGGAAAGGCCUGCUUUCCCUUGUGGAUUGCGGGUACUCGAGUGGCGAACGGGUGAGUAACACGUGAGUGAUCUGCCCCCAACUUGGGUAUAAGCCUGGGAAACUGGGUCUAAUUCCCGAUAGGACUGCAGGGUGGUGCCUGUGGUGGAAAACGAUUUUCUAGUGGUUGGGGAUGAGCUCGCGGCCUAUCAGCUUGUCGGUGGGGUAAUGGCCUACCAAGGCGGCGACGGGUAGCCGGCCUGAGAGGGUGGACGGCCACAUUGGGACUGAGAUACGGCCCAGACUCCUACGGGAGGCAGCAGUGGGGAAUAUUGCACAAUGGGCGGAAGCCUGAUGCAGCGACGCCGCGUGGGGGAUGACGGCCUUCGGGUGGUAAACUCCUUUCGACCGCGAGGAAGCCACCUGGUUGGAAGGGUGGUGACGGUAGUGGUAGAAGAAGCACCGGCUAACUACGUG
rnacentral:rRNA from 1 species